rfam:Candidatus Scalindua brodae SCABRO_contig000256, whole genome shotgun sequence.
CCCAGUGACAACAGUAGAAAUAAAAAACCCGUUCCCUUUCCGAACACGGUAGUUAAGAUUUUUACGCCGAUGGUACUAUCCAACGAUGGGAGAGUAGGUAUUGCUGGGG